UGCACAUCAACUCAGAGACUAAUCCCUGC
rnacentral:piRNA from 1 species